UUGAGCUGAAAAUUUGGUAGGAGGAAGGUCUUUUAAAUAAUAAUGAACUGUAAAAAGCUUUUUAGCGGGGUUCAAAGGGGUGGGUUCAAAAUGGUGGUUUCAAAAUUUCCCAAAAAUUAAAACCCCCCGAAUUUCUGCCCCCGAGGGUCGAAAAUGGAAAAAUUUUCCUGUAUCAUGUUUAACGGGUUCAAGCAGAUAUUUUACGCCAAAAAAGUUUUUAAAAAUAAUACUCAGUGGUUCCAAAAAUUAUUUUUUUAUUCGCAACUUUGGGGACCCCUGGAGCCCAAAAAAUGGUCAUUUUGGGUGAAAUAACCACGGAUUCGUAUUUGGGGCAUUUAUUACAACAAUUUAACAGUGGUUCAGUCGAUAACUGUCUGGGGCCAAAAAAUGGCCUUAUCGAUACCCCUCCUUUUAUAAUUUUACAAAAUUUGGGAAAUUUUUCGGACUUGGAAGCAAAUUGUGCAAUUUUAAAACCAAAAUUCCAACUUGGAUCAAAAUUGCCUCUUUAAAAGUACCUAAUAUUAGGUAUGUAUUUUUUGUGAUCAGAAAUGUGAUUUUCUGAAAUAUAAUAACACGGUUGAUUAUAUCUACAAUUCUACAUAUAAACGAACUUAUGAAAUUUUUGGUCCAUUUUGAAAAAAUUAAAACCCCAAAUGAGCUUCAAUUUUUCGUUUUAACGACCGAAUUUUUUAUUAAAGGAGGCCUCAGGGAUUCUCAUGCUCUCGUGAAAAGACAUGUUCAAAAUCAGUGACCAAGUCAUCGAGGGUUCCACUUGAGAGACAUUUUUUUACCAUGAACUGAAGAAUUUUUAUUUACAUUUUCAGGUCAAAUUUCAAUUUUUUAUCUACUGUUUUUUUUUCUUUAUUAAAUUACCUACUUACAUUUUAUUUUCAAUUUUGUCACGUAAUAAUUUAAUUUUUAUACAUUUACGUAUACGGAGAAAAAUACGAAUUCCGAAAGAUGUAUUCUGUGACAGUGGGGGGGGGGGUUAUUGAUUAUCUUAAUGAUAGAAUAACAUGAAUAAUGAGAAUUGAGAAUUUGAGAAUUACUAGGUUGGUAUAGUUCUAAAAAUGAAUGAAAAAUUCCAAGAUUUUAUGUGUCUAGAAAGAAUUUUUGAAUUCAAAUAGAUUAAAGAGCCUUUUUUCAGGUAUUUUUGUUUUAAGAUACUCUGCAUUUACCUAAAGAGUGACAUUUUUUGUAUCUAUAUAUUGCUUAUUUACUUACUGAUUUUUGUGUGUUUUUGAUUUACAUGUGUUAUUGUGGUUUUUUUAUAGAGUACGUUUUUAAAAAAUUACCCAAUGAUUGGGUAGGUAUAAUUUGUAAACUGAAUAUAAAAAAAAAACUUCAAGAUUUAAUGUAUUUAUCUCAGGGAAAAUUUUGAAUUCAGAAACCCAUCCUUCGAUGGUGGUUUUGUGAAUCGUAACUUUCUAAAGUAAUCAUUAUGCCAUUCAAGAGCUUUUUUCCAGGCUUGAAGAUUGAAAUGAUGAUGUGCAAAUAUUUAUUUUUUUAAAGACGCUUUGCAUUUACAGGGUGAUAUUUUUAUACUUACGUAUUUACUUAUGUAUUUUUGUGUGCAUUUUUUAAUUUAAGUACAUUAAGUAUGUACUUAUGGUUAGUUACUUUUUUUAGAAUGGCAUUUUUUGUGUAUUAUAAGCAGAGGGGAAAAUACAUCCAUAAAAUUUUACUCAUCAAUUUGAAAAUUAAAAUUCACUAAAUAUGUACUCCAAUUUUUAUAUGCUGAUUCGAUUGGAGGUGGUUUAAAGCUGUUCUGGAGCCUCCGGCCAUGUUUGAAAAUUUAAGAUCAUCAAAAAUUAUAUCGCACCUCGAGAGUAUUAAGGUCACAUCUCAAAAAAGUGUUUAAUUUACAGGAGAGUGAUUUUCUUUUUUUAAAAAACUUGAUUCAUUAUUUUCAUCAACUUAUAAUUAAUUGUGAGGAAUGAAUAGCACCUCAUUUUAAAGAUCUGGUAUCCUACCUUCAUUUAGCAUAAGAACACUUUGAAAAAUAAAAUCUUAAAGAGGAAAUAUUUCAAUGUUUGGAAAACAUUUUGAGUUAGAACCUUUCAUUAAAGUUGAUGUGGAGGCGAAAGGAAGCGUCCAAAAAAAAUUUCAUGUUAACAAAGUUGUAGAGAAUUAAAUUUCCAAUCGACAUAAUGUCGUUAGAUUUUUUCUAGAGUGCUUAGUUUUUGAGUUUUUCUCAAAAAACUAAAAUUUCAUGAUAUGUGCAAAUUCAUUUUUCUGAAAAGUGAUCAAUUUUAAAAAAUUUUUCCAUUUGGUACAAACCAAUAAAAAAUGCACUCCUUGUGACUAUUUCUAACUGACAAACAUUCAAAACAAUCAAAACCAUUUGUUAACACUUUGUAUGUACGAAAUUUGCUCAAAAAAGGUGGAGUUUUUUGAGAUGUACCCUUAUAACUCCGAACAACUUGCAAUGUUGUUGAGAUUUUGAGUUAGGCCAUUUGGGUUUUUUACAAGAUCUAGAUAAUGUACCCAACUCAAAGUGUAAUUUUUGGUUGAGGGGGGUCAUACAAACCCCAAAAAUGCAAAAACGUCAAAAUCAAUUUUUUUGAGAUGUGACCUUAUUACUCCCGAGGUGCGAUAUGUACCAUAAUACGGUCCAAAUCUACUCAAGCACAAUGAUUGGUGCUUGUUAGUGUUAAGAAAUACGAAAAUUAAAAAGAAAAGUUCAAAUAUUCCAGAAACACUCAUAAUACUCAAAGCGUAUGAAAAAUGCAAGUUUUUAAUUUUUCUGAACAGAACCAAGUUUUGAGUAAAUUUGGUUCUGUUCUACAGAGUUACAAAAUGUACCAAUUAUCGACCCCCCUCCUUAAAUCCGACCUCCCAUCUAACUCGCCUGAUAAUGCCACAACAUUUUUGGAAAGACAUUUUUCUUAUUCAUUUUUCACAGAAAAAGCGAAUGAGACCAAAAUCACCGCUGUAAAUUAUUUAAAGCUGACCCUUGAACGAAUAAUUAGUGCUAAUUACUUUUUGGAUAAUUUCAACGGCGAGUUUUCAAAUUUCUGGUCAAAGUUACGAUCAUCAAGUGCCCCAAAUUCGACCCCCCCCCCCCAUUGUUUUGGCAAUUUCAAGACUUUAUUUUUUGCUAUACAGACAUGCCAAAAGAUAAAUCAAAAUCGUAAGAAAUCGGCCGAAGUUUCCGGUAAAAUUUUUUAAGGUACCUACUUUUAUGUUGAUAUGUCAAGUAAUAAAUAUCUGUUUUAACAUCUUCAGACUUUGAUUUUGGUGUUUUUUACUCAUUUUUAAAUUUUAACAUGGUUUUUGAGGAGGUUGAUAUUAGGGUCACUUUUUUUUUGGUAAGUGACCAAUUUUCAUAAUUUGUGAAAACGUUCUAAAUACUUUAUAUUCAGGUAUUAAGCAAUAAAUAUUUGUUUUAAGGCCUUCAGACUUUGAUUUCGGCGUAUUUUUUACUCAUUUUCAACACUUUUUUCAAGGGGUCGAUAUUUGGGUCACUUUUUUUUUUGUUGAAUUUUUGAACUUUUUUGGAAAAUGUAAAAAAAUGAUAGUAAAUGAAAAUGUUGGGUCUUGGGGUUUUGGGAUGUUGAUGUAGACAUGUCAAGUUAUCGUUUAAGUCAUCGCCGACAUUUCCAGCUCAAUUUGGCUCCGAGAAAUUCAAAAAAUAAACUAGGAGAAUGAUAAUUUGUACCUUCACCCCAAUAUCAAGAAAAUUAUGAUUGAAUUUGAAAAUUGUUGAAAUCCGAAAAGUCAAAUUCUUUCAUUACAAUUGAUGUUGUUUUCUACUGUUCAAAUCACAAAUUUUCCAAAGCUUUUGCCCUCGCUUUGCUCGAGCCAUUCAAGAUCCUGCGUUUACAAAUGUUAAGAAUGUGAAAAUUCAACAGAAAAAUUCCAGAAAUACCUACUCAUAAUAUUCAAAGCGUAUGAAAAAUACAAUUUAUUCAAUUUUUCGGAACAGAACCAUUAGAUUUUCAAUUUUUUUUUUGAUACUCACCUACCACAGUGCUCACCACGUUAAAAUUUUGAUGAUUGCUGCAAAAUUAAAAUUUUUUGUCUGCAAAAGUACGAUGAACCCAUCCUCUCAAAUAGCAUAACUUGUCUUUUCUUCGCCCUGCCCCCACUGGUCAUAAAGUUUCUCUGGGCAGCCCUGAUCUUCCAUAUUUCUGUAGCCUUACAUUAGUACUUCAGUCGUCCAAUUUGUGUGCUCCCCCCCCCCCUAAUAGAAACCAUUUGCGACGUCACUGUGUAUAUACAUGUAUUGGGUCCGCAAGUAAUAAGAAAGUUGACAAAAAAUUCUAAAAUAAGACCCCGCAUAACCUUGAAGAUAUAGCUGCCUAAUAAACUGCGUGAGUACGUGAGUAGGUAUAUGUGCGCAAAAUUCGUUCGCAUACAAUUCACCAAUAUAAAAAUAACAAAGUCUCGUCUAACGGAAUUUUUUCAUAAUUUAGUUUCAUCUCUUCAUUUAUCACACGAUGUAGCCUAUAUUUUUAAUGCAAACAAUUUAAAUAAGAAAGAGUUGGUUCAAUUUUCUAUUGGUGGAAUAAGAUCAGUGUAAAAUGUGAAUUUGCAUGUGCAAUACUUUUCAAACCAUGAUGCAGAAAAAUUGGCAGUUUUGUUUAUGAAAUUAAUACCAUGCUCCAUUUUAAGAAUACCAUGAUUUCACGCUAUUUGUUACAAGGAGGAACAGUAACAAACGCUUUGAAAUUCGUUGCAUCAACGUGGCUCACAAGUUUCAUAACUGCAGCAUAUUGUCAAUAUGAAAAAGAUCAAAACGAGAGAUUGAUUUCUUGCAAAUAUUUUGAGAAGAAUAAUGGCAGAAGUUGUAACCAAAUGGAGUUCAUCAUAGAUGGAUCCGUUUUUGAAUAUGGAGCACAGCAGUUCACUCACUUAACAGAAAUAAAUCUUACCGUCGGCCAUUAUAUCGUCGAAACUGAACAUACCGAUGAAUUUUAUUUGUGUAAACAAAUUUACAAUCCAACAGCAUAUUAUUAUGAUGAUAGAUGUCUACUCAUUAUUUUUUCCAUGGUAUUUCUAUUCUUUCAUAUAAUUCUUAAUUUUAAUAAGGGUUAUUUUAAAAUUUGGCAAAACCAACUUUUAUUCUUUUAUUCAAUAGGAUUAAUGGUGAUGUAUGUGUUAUUCAUGUACAUCUAUCUACAAUACCCAGCCUCGAAUAUCCCAUUUAAUAUUGCUAAAAUUUUUUGGACCAAUCACUUUUUGUGGACGACGUUAAUCUUAACAGUAUUUUGUCACGAAGCGUUCGGCAUGGGCAACCGAUCCGAAAAUGUAACUGAAGGGAUUCCAAGUCUAAAAAGUGAUUUAUUGAUUCUUUUCAGUUUAUUUGGAUCUGCAUUAACCAUAUGUCUGCCUUUAAUAUAUUUAAUCUUUUUGGAAAAACAUAAAAAUCAGUGCCCUUCAAUUCCUGGACAUUUGGGUGUGCCAGACGAGCCUGCAGAAAAUGCAGAUUUUUUGACAUUAAUAGUAUUUCUUAGUCUAUUUUUCUUCAUGCCAGUAAUAGUCGUUGUGGGGAUAGUUUGCGUACUGAGUGAUUUUAAGAAUGCACCGUGUGAUCCUGAAGAAACGAGACGAGCUGUUUUGGCAAAAAUGCUAUCAUUUGUGGGUGUUCAUUUGAUAUUGUAUCAUGGUUGCAGAGCGUAUUAUAGAGAUAAAAAUUCGUCCACUGUGUUUGGUCGGUUCGUAAAUAUUGAAAUGAUGGCACAGUUGAGUAUAGAUUAUCAUGGUGUGCUCGUAUUUUUUGUGUUUUUUAUUCGCAGAAGAAUGCUACUAGUUCUUUUUUUACUAGUAUUUAUUUCCGUGUUAGUAGUUUUCUACUUGUAGUUAAACCACUUGUAGUACUACUCGUAGUAGUUGAAUUGCCACUAGUACUGCUAGUGAAACUACUAGUCAGUGGCGGAUUGGCCUAUGAUGUUGAUUGGCGAUUGCCAAGGGCCCCUAAACACCAAGGGGACCCCAGAGUCCCAUGUUUUUGCCCUUGCCAAUUCUCAUCUCUAAACUAAAAAAAUCUCAGGGUGAAACUUCCUUAAAUUCAAAUAAUGAAAAUAACAAUUUUUUAUUUGUAGGUACUUAUUUCAUCUUAAAAACUCGGUCAUUUUAUUUGUCGAAAAUGAUAUUUUUUUUUUCUUAUACCAUUCGGAAAAUUGUCAUUCAACACCGCUCCCCUCCUCAGAAAAAAAAUACAAAAAAAAUUGUACCACUGGCAUUCAAGUAUCCGAACCUAGGAAAAACAACAGGAGAAAUAUUCGGGGGGGGGGGGUAAAUUUUGAGGGUCCCAUUCGGUGCAUCUGGCAGGGGUCUCCAACCGACUCAGUCUGGACCUGACUAGUACAUUUGAAAACUAGUGCAUAAUAGAAAAUACAUAAUUAUGUACUAGUAAAAAUACUACUAUAGUUAAACUAUAGUACAUGAAUGUAUUUAUGUACUACUACCCGCGCAGCACAAGCGAUGCCAAAGUUGAUGGAACAGACAAGAUCUCUAAUCCGUCACUUGUCGACACUACAUUUGUUGACACCAAUGUCGAUAAAUGGCAAGUGAGAAGUAAAUAUCAAAAUCGACUGUCGUCUCCCUUAAUUUUAUGUCUCGACAUAGGUGUAAUUUUUUUGAGCCUAAAAGAUGCAAGUUUUGAUUGAAAAUGUGUGAAAUGUGCCCAAAACUCUUUUUUUGAUUCAAGUAAAAUUAUUCUCAAAAAUAUUUCACCCUAAAAAAUUUUUUGAAAGAAAAAAGUUGCCCUGGGUAGGGAUUGAACCUAUAGGUUUUGCCACACACUUCUGUCACGUUAUCUAACCAUUAGACCAUUGCCGCUGUUGAGUGGAGAGGCCUUGAAAGAAUAUUCAGUCUGUCUUAUUCUGGACUUGGAAAAUUUUUCUUAUUGUAUUGUCGACUGAGACAUCGACAAAUGAGUCGGCAACACUUCCAAAUUUCUAAAAAUAUUUUAUAGGUCUUGUAAUCAACAUCAACUUCCUCAUCAAUAUUAACCAGAUGAUUGAUGUCGAUUACAAGAUCUACAGAAGUAUCUACUCGAUGACGACAUUUUGUAGAUACUUUUGUAGACCCCAUAAUCGAUAUCAAAAUUUAGGUCGUCUUGCCGAUGCCAAAGUUGAUGACAAUUAUUAGAUCGACAAAAGUAACUAUACAAGAUCAAAAUUUUGUAGAUGCUUCCGUCCAUAUUAUAGUCGACAUCAACUUCGGAUCAACAAGAUGACCUGAAUUUCGAUAUUGAUCAUGGGUCUACUAAGGUAUCUAAGUACAACCCUAUUCACAAAAAUUAUGCGAUAGCAAGGUUAAAACGCAUGCUUUUAUGCAUAGCACAAGCAUGUGUGAAUUUGGACUUUUUUCAAAAAAAGCAUGCGAUUCAGCCUCCGAAUAUCAUGUGUAAAAGCAAUGUUAAAGCAUGUAGAAUGAAAUAAAAAUUGAAAAAUUUUUUGCCCUGGGAGGGGAUCAAACCCGGGAUUCACAGUUUCUAGUUUCCCAUGUUACCUAACCCACUCGGCCACUUCACUGCUUGCAAAGAGUGGAGUUAUUUCCCCAUAAAUGUUUGCACUUUUUGGACUUGGAGAAAAAUGUUAAAAUUUAAUAAGCUCACAACGCACAAGCAUUUAUGUGGAAAUAACUUCACUCUUCGCAAGCGGCGAAGUGGCCGAGUGGUCUAGUUGACGUGGAGAAAUAGAAACCUGCGGGUCCCAGGUUCAAUUCCCACCCAGGGCAGAAAUUUUUUAAAAUUUUUCUUUCAUUUCACCCCGUACAACAAUGACCAUGCUAAUUUCGAUGUGAAUGUCGACCCAUCCACAUCCGUCACUUUUGGAUGCCACAUGUCGAUGUGAAUUUCGACUCAGUGUCGAGCCACUUGUUGAUGUAAUUGUCGACCAAUGUUGAUCAGCAUUUAUGCCGACAAUUGGCUCGACACAGGGUCGAAAUUUACAUCGACAUGUGGAGUCCAAAUGUGACGGUUGUGGAUGGAUUGACAUUGGCAUCAAAAUUUACAUCGACCUACAGCUAUGCAAAAUUGUUAAAUUUUAGUUUCAAAAUCGAAAUUUUUUUCCAAAAAUCAUUUUCUCUUACACACUUUUACACUUAGGUGGCCAUUGCUCAUGCUGAAAACGAAAGCAGCAUCAAUGCGGAGGCCACCUCCGGGAAGUACAAACAGAAAGCCCAUAUUCAGUAUAGUUGAACAUUAAACUCUUUAUACUGAAAGGUGCAAUAGGUUAUCUAAGAGUACUAAACUAACACAUUUUCAUGUCAAGGACAUGUCGAUGUUAAUGUUGAUGUGAAAUUCGACAUCAACAAAUACAUCCACAAUAUCAACUUAAUUUUUCAAAUUUGAGAAAUCUUUGAAAAUUUCUCCAAUGUUAGUGUUGAUGUAUUUGUGGACGAUCGACUUUCACAUCAACAUAACAUUGACAACUCCAAACUAUGGAAAAGUGAAUAAUUUUAUCAAGGCCAUUAAAAAAAUUUUCUCCCUUCAAACAAAGAUCAUCUUUUCAAAUGUUUACUGAGCUUUUAAACACUGAAACAGAAAUUUUGAUUCUGAAAAAUUGGUCGACAUAGUUGUGGAUGUAAAUUUUGAGCAUCGAAUUUUACAUCAACAUGUCGACAGCGCAUGUCGAGGUAUCAGAAAUAAUGAGAAAAUUUCGAAAAUUUUCAUUAACCUGGCUUCUUUACGGACAGAAGAUUCCUAUUAAAUAACUUAUUGGUCACUUUUCCAUCAUCAUGUUGGAAAAAACCUCAGUCGAUGUAAAUGUCAACGUCGACAAUUGUUGUACGGGACAUGCUUUAACAUUACUUUUACUCAUGCUAUUCGCAGGCUGAAUCGCAUGUUUUUUAUGAAAAAAGUCCAAAUUCACACAUUACGAAUCUACACGCCUGUUUUUAUGUAUAAUUUUGUCAAUAGGGAAUAUAUAUCGAAAUCUUGCACAUGACUGUAGAUACAAAUGUAGACAGCAAUGACGACCAUCAGCAUUUUCAUCAUAGUUUUUGAAAAUAGUGUCAAUUUUUAAUCAAUUAUCUUAAACGUAGUUAGAUUAACCCUCUUGUGGAUAAUGUGCCGACUUUUUUCAAUCAACAAUCAUGUAAAAUCAUGUUGAUACUUUUGUCAAGGCCACUGAUGAUCUCGUCAGUGCUACAAGGGUAGUACCAUACUAGUAGUUAAUUUCAAGGAGUAGAGGAGUAUACACCUUCACUCAUGGCUGACUACAGAUUAGGAGUUUGAAGUGAAAUAAUAAGGUUGACCAAAACCAAUUUUUUGUUAAUUUUUUUUUCACUUUUUCGCAAUGAAUUUGAACAGGGAUAAACGAAAACGAUGAUUUAUUAAUGUUUUUUUCUUUUUAUUUGAUGAAUUUUUGCAAUUUUUUAUAGCCAUGAAAAAUUUUUAAAAACAUUAUUUUCUGUAACAAAUUGGUAGAGAUUUUUUUCUAUUACACUAGGCAACGAUUUUGAACUUUUUUUUUAGGCUUGAAGAUUGAAAUGAUGAUGUAUUUAUUUAAAUUUAUUUGUUUUAAGACGUUUUGCAUUUACAGAGUGAUAUUUUUAUACCUACCUUUACUUAUUAUGUUUUUGUGUGUAUUUUCUAAUUUUUCUACCUACAAGUGUUACCUAGGUGUUUUUUAAAGGAUUUUUUCGUCAGACAUAACAUGUUUUAUAAUCUACAUUAAAAACGUCAUAUCUUGUUACUGACUUAAUUUUUUGAAAUUUAAAUGGACUACAUUUUUCCACUCCUCGGUGUGAGUUAUAAUUCGACCCUGAACUCGUUUUUGAGAUUUUUCGACUUACCUGGUUCUUUCUCUGAACCAUUUAAAUAAUUCGAGUAGUUUAGAGAUUUAACAUAUCUACUUAUAAAAACUCAGAAAAUCAAAAGUCACUCUUCAUUAUUUUCUUUAAAAUUUUAAAAACAUUGGUAUUAUUGGACGUAGGGGGUCUUAAAUUCAUCAAAAAAAAGAGCUGAAAUUUGAAAUCAGCACCUCCAAGCCCCCUGGACAAAUUUAUAGAGGCUCCAGCGCUGACAUAAAAAUCAAAACCUGUUAAUAACUUUUAAAAAUGGCACAGAAAUACACUUUUUGCAGCUAAAGAAAGGCGAUAACGAGACUCGAAAAGUCGAAAUUCCUAAAAUGCACAUUUAGGUCACCUCUCUCCCGAUACUUGUUCCGAAUUGCAGCCACCUAAGUCAAUUUGGAAGGGCGAGAAGGCAUGACACAGGAUUUUCAAGGUCAAAAAUCACCUUCCUCUUCACCCCCUCCCGAAAAUUUUAAAAUUCGCGAAUUUCGACUCAACAUCAUCCCCACUCAAACCCCUGAAUUGAAUUGAAUUGAAUAAAUCUUUAUUUAAGGACGCCUUUCAAUUCAAUGUACAAACCAAACCUAAAUACCGAAUUUUUGAACAAAUUUUGUUGAAAUCUCCCUGGCUGUGAUACAUAGUAUUAAGUCCGGCAAAAAAUGAAUUAGGUAAUAUUCGUAAAAUAUCCACUAUCCACACCAUAUGUACUUGCAAAAUAUUUGCAGGUCAUUUUUCAACUCGUGAAAAAAUGGAAAAAAUUGAUACUUUUAUGUGAAAAAAUUUACUUAUUUUUGGCAAGAUCGUAAACAGCGGGGAAAAUACAAUACAUAAUUCAAAAUUCAAAAUUUCAGAUAAGUAAUUGAAAAUUUUUGUGCUUGGGAAAAAUGUUUUUAUUUUUUCGCAUUAUUUCAUCUACUUAAGUACUAUCUAUAUAAUUAGGUAAAUUUCAAGAAUAAAAAAAAAAAUCAUGAUGAUAUCGGUAGGUAAAUCACCCGUGAAAGUGACGUGCUCGUAUAUUGGGUACGCAAGAAAUGAGAAAAUCACUUUUAAAAAAUCUAAAAUAAGACUGUGGUACAACCUUGAACAUGGCUGCAUCAUAAACCACGUGAGUAAUGCAUGUGCGCGAAAUUCGUUCGCAUAAAAUUUGCCAAUAUGAAAACAACAAAGUCUCGUCUGACGGAAUUUUUUCAUAAUUUAAUAGUUACACCUUUUCAUUCAUUCUCAUACAAUGUGUUUUUAAUGCAAACCAUUUAGAUAAGAAAGUUUCUAUAAUCCAUUUAUCAAAAUUAUUAGUGAAGUAAAAUCUGCGUGAAAUGUGAGUUUUCAUCUGCAAUACCUUUCAAACCACGAUGUAGAAAAAUUGACAGUUUUGUUGAUAAAAUGAAUACCUUGCUUUAUUCUAGGAAUACCAUGAUUUCACGCUAUUCGUCACUAGGAGGAACAAUAAUGAUUGCUUUGAAAUUCGUUGCAUUAACGUGGCUCACAAGUUUUAUAACUGCAGCAUACUGUCAAAUGGAUAAUUCAAGCUCAGAAUCGAAUUGCACCAUCACCAUUUUUGAAGGUCCUUCGCCCAGUACCCCAGUACGCGAAUUUCAUUCAAAAAUGAUAGACAGUUGCCCAGAAAAUUACGAAAAUGAAGAUAUUCUCACACGCUGUGAACAUAUCAAUGACGGUUUGGAUGGAUUGGAUAACAAAUUAUUCACUCCGACCAUAAACUACGUCACAAACAUCACCUAUAUGAAUAAAUUUUGCGCCACAUGUAACAACGACAACGAUACCAAAGCGAUAGGCGCAUUCGCUUAUUGGACCAGUUUCACAUCUUUGGAAUACCCAUGCGAUUAUUACGGGUACACAUCAAAAAUAAAGGCAUCAGAAAUCAAUGAUCUCGACAAAUGGACGCAGACUUUUAUCAGCAAUGGAAUGUCACUGGAAACGCGUCAUGAAUAUUAUGACCGUAAACUACAGUGCUCCAGGAGGAAAGAAUGGCCUAUAAACUUGCUACGUAAAGUGAUUGGUUGUUUAGUGUCUUAUUUGGAAAUAGGUCAAAAUGAGAGAUUGAUUUCUUGCAAAUAUUUUGAAAAGAAUGGCAGAAGUUGUAACCAAAUGGAGUUCAUUGUGAAUGGGUUCGUUUUUGAAUAUCGUUCGCGGUUCGCUCGCUUAACGGAAAUAAAUCUCACUGGAGGCGAUUAUGUCGUCCAAACUGAAAAUACUGAUGCAUUUUAUAUGUGUAAACAAAUUUACAACCCGGGAUAUUGGGGCAAAAUUUUACUGAAUAUUGUUUCCAUGACAUUUCUAUGCAUUCAUCUAAUUCUUAAUUUCCAUAAGAAGUAUUUUCAAAUUUGGCAAUACCAAUUUUUAUACGUGUAUUCAAUAGGAUUGAUUGUAAUGUAUGCGUUAUUUAUCUACAUGUACCUGAAAUUUCCAGUCUCAAAUGUUCCAUUGAAUCUUGCUAAAAUUUUCUGGACAUAUCACUUUUUAUGGACGACGUUAAUUCUAACUGUAUUUUGUCACAAAGCGUUCUGCACGUGCAACGAAUGCAAAAAUUUAACCAAUGGGACUCCACUUAAAAAUAAUUUAUCGACUGUUUUAAUUUUAUUUGGACUUGCAUUAACCAUAUCCCUGCCUUUGAUGUAUCUACAUUUUUUGGAAUCACAUGAAAAUCAAUGCCCUCCAAUUCCUGGUCAUUUUGCUGUGUCAGACGUGCCUGCAGAAAAUUUACACUUUUUGAAAUUAAUCGUGAAUCUUAGUCUAUCUUUCUUCAUGCCUGCAAUAAUUGUCGUGGGAAUAAUUUUUUUACUGAUUGCAAGAUCACUAAUAAAUUCUCCACCUGUUUUCGUAAAAAUGCUAUCAUUUGUGGGUAUUCAUUGGAUAUUGUAUAAACGUUGCACAGAGUGUUAUGAGAGUGAAAAUUCGUACACUGUGCGUGGUUCGUUCACAAAUAUGGAUAUGAUGGCACAGUUGAGUAUCGAUAUUCACGGUGUGCUUGUAUUUCUUGUGUUUUUACCUUACAAUAGACUGAUUGAUAGUAUGUUGAGCAAGUUUGGAUGUGAACCUGGAAAUGAUAGUCAGCAGGGUGAUGAUGGUGCUAUAGAAACGACUACAUAAUUUAUGUCUUGGUCUGAGAAAGAACUCACUACCUAUUGGGAGGAGAGGGGGGUUGGGGGGUUGAAAAUUUUAAAACUUCGUAGAAAAAACAAGAGAGGGCCCUAUGUGAAAUUUUUUCAGAAAUUUUGUUACACCCUAAGGUGUUACAUAAUCAUUUUUGUGGAGCUCAAAGACAGAUGCAACAUGCUAAAAUUCAAGGUCAAAAUCUUUUGAAAAAAUAUACGAUUUUUCGUUUUUGAGCCUUAAACGUGGGUGGUAUGAAAAUGAACUGAAACUAAAAAACUGAAAACCAAAACUGAAAUGCUAAAGUUUUGCCAUCACUGUGUCCAUGCUGAAAAAUUCUGAAAAAGUUACCGUCUAUUUACAUACUAUGAUGAUUUUUGUACGGUUUUGAUUUACAUUGUAUUGUGUUGCUGUUGUUUUUUAUAGAAUACUUUCAGAAAAAAUUACCCAAUCAUUAGGUAGGUAUAAUUUGAAAAUUAAAUGAAACAAUUCUCAAGAUUUGAUGUAUCUUGGGGAAAAUUUUGAGCUCAGAAAUCCAUCCUUCGAUGGUCUGAAAUAAUCAUCAUGCGAUAUACGAGCUUUUUUUCAGGCAUGAAGAUUAAAAUGAUAAUGAAUUUAAUUCCUUUGUUUUAAGACAUUUUGCAUUUACAAGGUGGCAUUUUUAUACCUGUACAGUACUUAUAUGUUUUUGUGUGUAUUUUUUAAUUUAAUUAGUGUAAAUGUGUUACCAACUAUUUUUUUAAUGAAAUUUUUGUCAGUUAUAAGUAACAUGUUUCAUAAUUUUUAUUAAAAACUUCCUAGCCUGUCA